rnacentral:rRNA from 1 species
CCUACGGGGAGCUGCAGUGGGGAAUAUUGCACAAUGGGGGAAACCCUGAUGGAGCAACGCCGCGUGGGUGAAGAAGGUCUUCGGAUCGUAAAACCCUGUUGUUAGAGAAGAAAGUGCGUGAGAGUAACUGUUCACGUUUCGACGGUAUCUAACCAGAAAGCCACGGCUAACUACGUGCCAGCAGCCGCGGUAAUACGUAGGUGGCAAGCGUUAUCCGGAUUUAUUGGGCGUAAAGGGAACGCAGGCGGUCUUUUAAGUCUGAUGUGAAAGCCUUCGGCUUAACCGGAGUAGUGCAUUGGAAACUGGGAGACUGGAGUGCAGAAGAGGAGAGUGGAACUCCAUGUGUAGCGGUGAAAUGCGUAGAUAUAUGGAAGAACACCAGUGGCGAAAGCGGCUCUCUGGUCUGUAACUGACGCUGAGGUUCGAAAGCGUGGGUAGCAAACAGGAUUAGAUACCCUGGUAGUC